rnacentral:misc_RNA from 1 species
UACGGAGGGGGCUAGCGUUGUUCGGAAUUACUGGGCGUAAAGCGCGCGUAGGCGGCGUACAAAGUUAGGCGUGAAAGGCCUGGGCUUAACCCAGGAAUUGCGUUUAAAACUUGUAUGCUAGAGGCCGAGAGAGGGUGGCGGAAUUCCCAGUGUAGAGGUGAAAUUCGUAGAUAUUGGGAAGAACACCGGUUGCGAAGGCGGCCACCUGGAUCGGUUCUGACGCUGAGGUGCGAAAGCGUGGGGAGCAAACAGG